AGCUGGUUAGCUCAAUUGGGAAGCAUGUGGUGCUGAUAACACCAAGGUUGUGGGUUCAAUCCCCAUAUGGGCCA
rnacentral:tRNA from 1 species